rnacentral:rRNA from 1 species
ACGGAAGGUCCGGGCGUUAUCCGGAUUUAUUGGGUUUAAAGGGAGCGUAGGCGGGAGAUCAAGUCAGUUGUGAAAAGCAGCCGCUCAACGGUUGUCGUGCAGUUGAUACUGGUUUUCUUGAGUGCGCGCGAGGAUGGUGGAAUUUGUGGUGUAGCGGUGAAAUGCUUAGAUAUCACAAAGAACUCCGAUUGCGAAGGCAGCUGUCCGGAGCGCAACUGACGCUGAGGCUCGAAGGUGCGGGUAUCAAACAG